rnacentral:rRNA from 1 species
AAUCAACGCUGGCGGCGUGCCUCAGACAUGCAAGUCGAACGAUUAAAGCUCUCUUCGGAGAGUGUAUAGAGUGGCGCACGGGUGAGUAACACGUAAGUAAUCUACCCUCCGAGUGGGGAAUAACAACCGGAAACGGUUGCUAAUACCGCAUAAUGCAGCGGCACCGCAAGGUGACAGUUGUUAAAGAUUUAUCGCUUGAGGAGGAGCUUGCGGCAGAUUAGCUAGUUGGUAGGGUAACGGCUUACCAAGGCUACGAUCUGUAACCGGUCUAAGAGGACGGUCGGUCACACUGACACUGAAUAACGGGUCAGACUCCUACGGGAGGCAGCAGUCGGGAAUUUUGGGCAAUGGGCGAAAGCCUGACCCAGCAACGCCGCGUGAAGGAUGAAGUAUUUCGGUAUGUAAACUUCGAAAGAAUAGGAAGAAUUAAUGACGGUACUAUUUAUAAGGUCCGGCUAACUACGUGCCAGCAGCCGCGGUAAAGUACAGUGU